rnacentral:rRNA from 1 species
GACGAACGCUGGCGGCGCGCCUAACACAUGCAAGUCGCACGGUGAACGGGGCUUCGGCCCCCGGAUCAGUGGCGAACGGGUGCGUAACACGUGGGCAACCUGCCCCUCACUCUGGGAUAACCCCGGGAAACCGGAGCUAAUACCGGAUACUCCGGCCGAACCGCAUGGUUCGGCCGGGAAAGGUCCGCCGGUGAGGGACGGGCCCGCGGCCUAUCAGCUCGUUGGUGGGGUAACGGCCCACCAAGGCGACGACGGGUAGCUGGUCUGAGAGGACGACCAGCCACACUGGGACUGAGAUACGGCCCAGACUCCUACGGGAGGCAGCAGUGGGGGAUCUUGCGCAAUGGGCGAAAGCCUGACGCAGCGACGCUGCGUGAGGGACGAAGGCCCUCGGGUUGUAAACCUCUUUCGGCAGGGACGAAGCGAUCGUGACGGUACCUGCAGAAGAAGCCCCGGCUAACUACGUGCCAGCAGCCGCGGUAACAC